rnacentral:rRNA from 1 species
UGGCUCAGGAUGAACGCUAGCGGCAGGCUUAACACAUGCAAGUCGAGGGGCAGCGGGGAGGAAGCUUGCUUUCUCCGCCGGCGACCGGCGCACGGGUGAGUAACACGUAUGCAACCUGCCCCUGUCAGGGGGACAACCCGCCGAAAGGCGGGCUAAACCCGCGUACAUGCCACCGGGGCAUCCCGGAGGCAGGAAAGGCUUCGGCCGGACAGGGAUGGGCAUGCGGCGCAUUAGGCAGUAGGCGGGGUAACGGCCCACCUAACCGACGAUGCGUAGGGGUUCUGAGAGGAAGGUCCCCCACACUGGUACUGAGACACGGACCAGACUCCUACGGGAGGCAGCAGUGAGGAAUAUUGGUCAAUGGUCGGGAGACUGAACCAGCCAAGCCGCGUGAGGGAUGAAGGUACAGAGUAUCGUAAACCUCUUUUGUCAGGGAACAAAGGCGGGGACGUGUCCCCGGAUGAGUGUACCUGAAGAAAAAGCAUCGGCUAACUCCGUGCCAGCAGCCGCGGUAAUACGGAGGAUGCGAGCGUUAUCCGGAUUUAUUGGGUUUAAAGGGUGCGCAGGCGGUCUGUUAAGUCAGCGGUCAAAGCCCGGGGCUCAACCCCGGCCCGCCGUUGAAACUGGCAGUCUCGAGUUGGAGAGAAGUAUGCGGAAUGCGCGGUGUAGCGGUGAAAUGCAUAGAUAUCGCGCAGAACUCCGAUUGCGAAGGCAGCAUGCCGGCUCCACACUGACGCUGAGGCACGAAAGCGUGGGUAUCGAACAGGAUUAGAUACCCUGGUAGUCCACGCAGUAAACGAUGAAUGCUGGCUGUCCGGGGGGACUGACCCCUGGGUGGCGAAGCGAAAGCGAUAAGCAUUCCACCUGGGGAGUACGCCGGCAACGGUGAAACUCAAAGGAAUUGACGGGGGCCCGCACAAGCGGAGGAACAUGUGGUUUAAUUCGAUGAUACGCGAGGAACCUUACCCGGGCCCAAACGGGGAGUGACUCAGGCAGAGACGCCUGUUUCCCACGGGACACUCCCCGAGGUGCUGCAUGGUUGUCGUCAGCUCGUGCCGUGAGGUGUCGGCUUAAGUGCCAUAACGAGCGCAACCCCCGCGUGCAGUUGCUAACAGUCAACGCUGAGGACUCUGCACGGACUGCCGGCGCAAGCCGCGAGGAAGGCGGGGAUGACGUCAAAUCAGCACGGCCCUUACGUCCGGGGCGACACACGUGUUACAAUGGGUGGUACAGCGGGAAGCCAGGCGGCGACGCCGAGCGGAACCCGAAAUCCACUCUCAGUUCGGAUCGGAGUCUGCAACCCGACUCCGUGAAGCUGGAUUCGCUAGUAAUCGCGCAUCAGCCAUGGCGCGGUGAAUACGUUCCCGGGUCUUGUACACACCGCCCGUCAAGCCAUGGGAGCCGAGGGCGCUUGAAGUGCGUCGCCGCGAGGCGCGCCCUAGAGCGAAAUCGGUGACUGGGGCUAAGUCGUAACAAGG